rnacentral:rRNA from 1 species
UACGAAGGGGGCUAGCGUUGCUCAGAAUCACUGGGCGUAAAGGGUGCGUAGGCGGGUCUUUAAGUCAGGGGUGAAAUCCUGGAGCUCAACUCCAGAACUGCCUUUGAUACUGAGGAUCUUGAGUUCGGGAGAGGUGAGUGGAACUGCGAGUGUAGAGGUGAAAUUCGUAGAUAUUCGCAAGAACACCAGUGGCGAAGGCGGCUCACUGGCCCGAUACUGACGCUGAGGCGCGAAAGCUAGGGGAGCAAACAGG